GGGGAGUGGAAACGCUGAAGAUGCAGCCAGCUCGGUGUCCGGUUUCCUUCGAGGAGGUGGCCGUGCAUUUCACAAAGGGCGAAUGGGCACUGCUGAAUCCUGACCAGAGAGCUUUGUAUAGAGACGUCAUGGUGGAGAACUAUGGGAAUGUGGCCUCUCUGGAAUCCAAAGCAAUUCUGAAGCCGGGCCUCAUCUCCUGGCUUCAGGAAAGUGAAGCACCGUUUCCCCCAGACCCCG